AGCUGUUGAAGAAGAGGGAAAGCUACACCAUCAUCAUUGUCUACGUAGGGAACCCAUUCCUGCCAUCUGGGCAUAUCUUUAAAAAUUAAAACUUCAAGGGAUCUAAAGGGCUUUUCCUUGCUCGUGCAAUUCCCAUAGAACUCUGGACCAACAGAAACCAAUUCUUCGAACGCUUCAAUGCUAAGCACUCGUAGAAACCUUAACUGUCCAACUGGCGGUAAGGAGCAGCAGUACUUACACCCACGGAGCCCCAAGGUUUCAAUGUUCGAGAAAGAAGAGACUCCUACCCAAUCUGGAAAUCUCGUACCACCAUAACCUGUAAUUAAGAGAUAUUCGACACUGGUAUGAGGUUGUAAUUGCUCAAGAACGGCCCUUUCAUUCGAUGAAUCAUUAGUGUCACCAUUCCAUUCCAACACCAAAUACCUAAGCUGCGUUUUACCCUUCAAAUUGGCUUUCAAAGCGUCUUGCGGAUCCUUAACAUUUUGCAGAUUACGAAUACCUUGUUUCCUGAGACAAUGAAGCUUCUCCAACUCUUUAAUGCUAGAGCCAGAGCGUUCCCCCAAAACAUAAUCAGACAAGUUUUGGAGCUUUGUAAGUCGUCCCACAUGCAAUGGCAUCUCUUUCAACUUUUCUGUGUCGCUAAUUUCAAGAUCGCACAAGUUAACCAACUUCCCUAUGUCCGUAGGCAGCUCGAUUAAGUGCCUGCAUUUAUUCAAUAUCAAAGUUUGCAAGUUAUACAAACUACUUAUGGUGUCAGGUAACCGACGGAAUGGUGUUCCACUGAGAUCCAAGUAUCGUAGAUGCUUCAAUAGACCAAUCGUUUUGGGUAACUCAACCAAUCUAGUACACCAAGAUAAAGAUAGCACCCUAAGUCGGUUGAAUGCCGAUAAUAAACUAUGGGCUACAUCAUUAUCAACUGAGAUGCCACCAUAAGGAAUUUCGCCACCUACACAAAUUAACGUGCGCAGGUGCUUGGCUUCAUAUGAAGCAUCAAAUCUCUGUGGAUCACACGCAACGGUCUCAAUGCCUAGCUGCUUACCGAAGAUAUCGUGCGAAAAUGAUAAAUGACGAGUCCUUAUGUUGAUAUCAGAUAGAUCGCUGCCAUACUCCCAUCUAAAGCAAAUUUGUUCAGAUACCAAUUUAGCUAGCUCAUUUAUGAGGUCAUGCAUGAUGAAUAAUGAUGGAUUGUCGCUGGAUAAUUGAAAAAAUGACCACAAUACCAGAUCUUGAAACCACUUGCGCCCCUCCUCUCUCAUAUUAUGUUUUUGAAAUUUGUCUAAGAAACCCUCCGCCAUCCACAAAGUGAUCAAUUUCUCCAUAUCAAAUUCAUAAUCUUGAGGGAAUAUAGCUGUAUAAGCAAAACAAGGCUUUAAAUGUGAUGGGAGAUAAUGAUAACUCAAUCUCAAAGCUGGAAGAACACCAUCCUGGGACUGAAGCCAAGCACUGCUGUUCAAUACCUCUUCCCAUUCCUCUGCAUUUCUCUUGGAGCGCAGGACACCCCCAACUGUUUUGGCAGCUAACGGCAACCCUCCGCACUUUCUUGCUAUUUCCCCACCAAUUGCUUCCAAGUCUGGGUAUGUACCAAAAUUGUCAGCAUUAAGUGCAUACUGUGCGAGCAAGUGCAAACAAUCCUCAUCAUUCAAUUUCUUUAGAUGAUAAGUUGGAUAAGUGGACACAGCCAAUGCUACGCUCUCAUUGCGGGCAGUGACAACCAUUUUACUUCCCUGUGCCCCAACCUUCAAAGGUCUCUGUAAAAUGUCCCAUUUCUCAUGGUUAUCACUCCAAACAUCAUCUAAAACGAGUAAAUAUUUUUUCCCAUCCAAUUUCUCCUCUAGCUGAACUUGAAUGUCAUCAAAAUCAGCAUCUUUGUCAAAAGCCUCCGAGAAAAACUUCCUGUAAAUACCCCUUGUUAUCUUGACAACAUCAAAUUCUUCCGAAACACAAACCCAUGCUUUGCAAUGAAACCACUUUUUGACUCUCCUGUCAUUGUAGAUGUACUGAGCAAGAGUGGUUUUACCGAUCCCACCCAUUCCCACUAUUGGAAUCACACCUAUGUCGCUACCAUUUGGGUCAUCUGACAAAAGCAACUUCACUAUGGCUUCCUUAUCCACAUCCCUACCAUAAAACCCAGAUUUUCCUACCACAGAAGUAGUUGGUAACCUCGGUGAUGAUAGCUUUAGUCCAGUACCCUCUCUUGCACGCAAGCCAAGAUGAUCCUUUAGGUUUACUAAAUCUUCCAUUCUCUUAAGUAUUCCUUCCAAAUUUGCUUGUAGUAUCCCCUUAUUACAUGGAUUGUGAGAAUAUGAAAAAGAAGAAGAAAAGUCCCUCACCUGAUCUAUGAUGGUUUGAGAAUCAUCUUCCAUCUUCGAUCGCAGAGCUUCAUAAGCGAUCUCAUCCAGAAAAUCAUCAGCCUCGUAAACAGCAUUCUUAAGCUCGCUGAGCCACCUUUUCACAGCUGGCUUAGUUAUUUGCAUGUUCUCCGCAUCAUCGAGCAGUCCAUUGGCAGCUAUCAUUGUGGUCGUCAACGUCUGAAGAAGUUCAUCGUUCACUUGCUGGCCUCUGAAGAAGUCCAAAACUUCUCGAGAAGUCAUCCUAUCAAACAGAACGUUAAAGAAAGCAGAAAGAACAGAUCCUCCGAGCAAUACCGCAUCCAUGGUUUCUCCUUUCUUCUUGUCACCCGGCACGACCAAAGACGAAAAGUAAAGCUUUGGGCUUUUUAGUCCAAAAGGGUUGACUUACAAAACUUU
rnacentral:misc_RNA from 1 species